ensembl:snoRNA predicted gene, 24771
CCUGCCCCUAGAAACACAGCAGGUAUGACUGCUGUGUCACAAGUGCGUCAGUAGGUGGCAGAGAGAAAGAGGGUGUGUCUAUGCUUAGUGUUCUAACCUAUGAACAACUGAAAACAGAAAGCCUGAUCAGACUAAGAGUCUGGUGCA